UACGUAGGGGCAAGCGUUGUCCGGAUUUAUUGGCGUAAAGCGCACGUAGGCGGACUCUUAAGUCGGUGGUGAAUCCUGGAGCUCAACUCCAGAACUGCCUUUGAUACUGAAGUCUUGAGCAUGGGAGAGGUGAGUGGAACUGCGGAUGUGAGGUAGGUGAAAUUCGUAGAUAUUCGCAAGAACACCAGUGGCGAAGGCGGCUCACUGGCCCAUUACGGACGCUGAGGCACGAAAGCGUGGGAGCAAACAGG
rnacentral:rRNA from 1 species